CCGGCAGCUGCUCGCCCUGACCCCAGCCACUUUUAGCCUGUUGCUCGGUGGCCCAAGUGGUUUUUCCACCAUGUGCAGAAACCCAGAUAAAGUCCCAGCAGCGCCGCGAUGCCACCGGCACCUGCGCAGGAAGGGGGAGAAGAGAGGGCUGAGCUGGUUGGGGGUGAGCAGCCACCACCCCCAAAUUGUCCCCACAGCCCCUGUCCCCAACUGUGCCCAGAGCAGGGGCUGUGUGUGUCCCUGUGCCAUGGUUAUGGCUCUUUGCACAUCACUGACCCUCAAUAUAACCAACUGAUGGCAUUGUCACCCCCCUCUCAUCCACCUUUUCAUGGGGUUCAGGACUUCACACGCUUUUGGUCUUCUCACAAGUUGCUCACACACCUGGGUGCCUGGGGUUCAAUGAGCCCCAACUGCUGGUCAUUGGCAAUUAAUGUUGUUAAUUGCCAUGGGAGAAGCUUUGCUCCUGUAGUAGGGAGUAGCUGUGCUGCUGUGGAGGGUGAGGACUGUGUCUUUGCUCACUCUGCAGCCGAUCCCCAUGAGCCCUUCAGUGCUUUGCUUUGGACUCUGCUUGCAGGGUACAUUGGAUUUAACUCUGACCCCCUCGAAGCCCCUGUUUAAUUGGGGUGAAGGACACAGGAUCAGGUUCCAGGAGAUGCUGCAAGUCCCGGAAUUAAUCUGCUUUCCUGGGAGGCAAUUUUCUUGCUGCAAACGCUUACACUGUGAUGUGCCACUCCAUGGGUUCUGCGAGGGAACUCAGGACCUGUGGUGAGAGGCAGCUCGACAAGAGUUUUAUUUAUAAAACACCAGUGCCUGGUGUAGGUUUACUCACUCUCCCAUCUGGUGACUAUCGCUGCCACCUCCUGACAGACGCUCCGUCUCUUGGUGCUAAUGACGUAUUUUGAUUAGCUGGAUCCGCCACUUCACCCAGCUAUCGAUCAGUCGCGGAUUAAAAACUGGCUUUUAAAAUCA